AAUGAACGCUGGCGGCGUGCCUAAUACAUGCAAGUCGAGCGAACAGACGAGGAGCUUGCUCCUUCGACGUUAGCGGCGGACGGGUGAGUAACACGUAGGUAACCUACCUAUAAGACUGGGAUAAAUUCGGGAAACCGGAGCUAAUACCGGAUAAUAUUUCGAACCGCAUGGUUCGAUAGUGAAAGAUGGCUUUGCUAUCACUUAUAGAUGGACCUGCGCCGUAUUAGCUAGUUGGUAAGGUAACGGCUUACCAAGGCAACGAUACGUAGCCGACCUGAGAGGGUGAUCGGCCACACUGGAACUGAGACACGGUCCAGACUCCUACGGGAGGCAGCAGUAGGGAAUCUUCCGCAAUGGGCGAAAGCCUGACGGAGCAACGCCGCGUGAGUGAUGAAGGUCUUCGGAUCGUAAAACUCUGUUAUUAGGGAAGAACAAACGUGUAAGUAACUGUGCACGUCUUGACGGUACCUAAUCAGAAAGCCACGGCUAACUACGUG
rnacentral:rRNA from 1 species